AGAAGAAAUUAUCAAUCGCAAAUCAGUAUUGUAUUUAACAGGUCUAAAACAGGGUGAAAUCACUGCUAGAACAACUGCAAAAUCACAAUUAAAACAAGUUUUGUCCUAUUCAAAAAUAGGUAAAGCCGCAAGGGCUAAACUGUAAAACUUGCGAAGAGAUAAGAUUUCUAUCUCUCUUCUCCACUCCCGUGCGGUUACAUACCCCAAAUUCACCAUGGGGAAUUUGUCUAUGCAGCCACUGGGAGGAGCUCGCCACGCCGCUGUGUACCAUGGGAGCAAGCGCCGCGCGUGGUAGGGGCCUCUUCGGGGAAGGGGACCCGGCGGCAGUGACGCCGGUGCGUGAGGGAUCCGGCGACGGGCGCGGCAUGGCCGGGCGAGUCCUGGCGCAGGUCGGUCGCGCGUAAGGGCGGCCAUGCCUGGUGCUGCUGGCCAGGGCGCGGGUGAGGACAACCACGGCCUAGCGCAGGGACCCGGCGAUAGGUGGCCGAGCGGAGCGCGGCCAGGCGGACCGCGCGGGGCGCAUGCCUGGAGCAAUUCCGGCAUCAGUACUGCCUCGUCGCGGGCGUUGCCGCAAGGAAGAUAAUGUUGUUUCCCCACUGCUGCGUGCGUGGAGAAAAAUAAAAAGAAGCAAUCGCUGCAAAAAAAGAUUCAGAGAAUGCUAAAAAGGUACAGGUUCUUGAUGAGAGCGUUUGAUGCUUCCAGAAUUGAAAUCGGAAAGUAGCACCUUGAUUCUUGUAUGUAGCAAUUUGAUCAAGACUUUAAUAAUUUGCCUGGGUUGCUUGUUGACUCCGAUUUCUCUCUUUCUUGAUUUCAUCCAUCGGGCCCACGAAUUUGCGUGUAGGCCGAAAAUUAAGAUCGUCAUAGAUUGGUACGGGACUGCCCGAAUCACUCGUCCAUUCUUCUACGAUGUCGGGCAUUCCCGGAUGGAACUGCUGAAUGAUGUCCUUGCUCCAUGGCCGUGGAUCAUGGUCGUCGAUAACUGCCAUGUCGGCGAUGGCCUAGUCGCUCUCUCGGAGAAACUACAGUGCUGAUAAUGUGUUACAGUAAACGAGAGAGAAGCGACUGGAAUAAACAGUGAAUCUCUUUAUUGAUGACACACAAGGCUAUAUAUACAAAGUGAGGGGACAUGUUGAACAGACGCGACCUUUACAAAGGACGCCACAAAGGCGGUUGUUAAGCAUGGAUUAUUAGGAUUAUAAUUAAUCCUUAACAGUUACCACUGCAGGUGAGGAUAACUCCAGCAUGCCAGCUCACCGGCGACUCCCAGAGGUGCCCAAACGACUUAGCGGCGCUCAGAGCACACAAGGGAAAUAAGUAAGAAGGAUCCAACAUGCUAGUGGUGAGAUUUGGCAGUGAUUUGACCAAUCAUAGAAUCUCUGCCCACCACGUGCUCGACGAAAUGGUUUUGGCAUGAGAAAUUUUUUUGGAGGAGCUGAAACUUGGUGUGGUGGUUUGUCAAUGCAUCAAGAGGCUCCCUAAAUCUUCUUAGAAUUUUUGGAGUGGAAAAACGUUGGGUUUCAUUAAAAUAAUUAAAUCUUUUCCAAACUCCACUCGAACAAAUUUUGAAAUAUUUGGACUAGAGGGCACAAGGUUUUCAGGUAACUAGGUUGAUGCUACUAAGGACUAGUUGGGGUAAUUUAUUUGGGGUCAAAAUCCUAAGGCAACUCUGAGCUCUUUUGAAAACUGCAAUGGACCCAAAAU
rnacentral:lncRNA from 1 species